GACGAACGCUGGCGGCGCGCCUAAAACAUGCAAGUCGAACGAGAAGCCCGGGCUUGCCCGGGUGGACAGUGGCGAACGGGUGAGUAACACGUGAGGAACCUGCCCCGAAGACCGGGACAACACCGGGAAACCGGUGCUAAUACCGGAUACCUUCACCGGAUCGCAUGGUCUGGUGAAGAAAUGGAUUCCGCUUCGGGAUGGCCUCGCGGCCUAUCAGCUAGUUGGUGGAGUAACGGCUCACCAAGGCGACGACGGGUAGCGGGUCUGAGAGGGUGUCCAGACACACUGGGACUGGGAACCGGCCCAGAGUCCUACGGGAGGCAGCAGUUAGGAAUCUUGCGCAAUGGACGAAAGUCUGACGCAGCGACGCCGCGUGCGGGAUGAAGGCCCUCGGGUUGUAAACCGCUUUCAGCAGGGACGAAAUUGACGGUACCUGCAGAAGAAGCCCCGGCCAACUACGUGCCAGCCGCCGCCGUAACAC
rnacentral:rRNA from 1 species